rnacentral:rRNA from 1 species
CCCUUAGAUGUUCUGGGCCGCACGCGCGCUACACUGACGAAGUCAGCGAGCAUCUCCUACGCCGAAAGGUGCGGGGAAUCUUGUGAAACUUUGUCGUGCUGGGGAUUGAUUUUUGAAAUUCUUGAUCAUCAACGAGGAAUUCCUAGUAAGCGCAAGUCAGUAGCUUGCGUUGAUUACGUCCCUGCCCUUUGUACACACCGCCCGUCGCUACUACCGAUUGAAUGGUUUAGUGAGAUUUUUGGACUGGAACUCUCUUGUUCAGCAAUGAACGAGAGGGACUCUGGGAAGCUAUUCUAACUGUAUCAUUUAGAGGAAGUAAAAGUCGUAACA